UGGGGAAUUUUGGACAAUGGGCGAAAGCCUGAUCCAGCCAUGCCGCGUGUGUGAAGAAGGUCUUCGGAUUGUAAAGCACUUUAAGUUGGGAGGAAGGGCAGUAAGCGAAUACCUUGCUGUUUUGACGUUACCGACAGAAUAAGCACCGGCUAACUCUGUGCCAGCAGCCGCGGUAAUACAGAGGGUGCAAGCGUUAAUCGGAAUUACUGGGCGUAAAGCGCGCGUAGGUGGUUCGUUAAGUUGAAUGUGAAAGCCCCGGGCUCAACCUGGGAACUGCAUCCAAAACUGGCGAGCUAGAGUAGGGCAGAGGGUGGUGGAAUUUCCUGUGUAGCGGUGAAAUGCGUAGAUAUAGGAAGGAACACCAGUGGCGAAGGCGACCACCUGGGCUCAUACUGACACUGUGGUGCGAAAGCGUGGGGAGCAAACAGG
rnacentral:rRNA from 1 species